GACACUAUGGCCGAGUGGUUAAGGCGACAGAUUCGAACUUCACCCGUCAUCUGUUUCCCUCUGGGAGCGCAGGUUCAAAUCCUGCUGGUGUCG
rnacentral:tRNA from 1 species